AGAGUUUGAUCCUGGCUCAGGAUGAACGCUGGCGGCGUGCUUAACACAUGCAAGUCGAACGAACCUUCGGGUUAGUGGCGGACGGGUGAGUAACGCGUGGGAAUCUGCCCUCAGGAGGGGGAUAACGGCUGGAAACGGCCGCUAAUACCCAAUAUGCCGAGAGGUGAAAAGAAAUUCGCCUGAGGAUGAGCCCGCGUCUGAUUAGCUAGUCGGUGGGGUAAGAGCUCACCAAGGCGACGAUCAGUAGCUGGUCUGAGAGGAUGAUCAGCCACACUGGGACUGAGACACGGCCCAGACUCCUACGGGAGGCAGCAGUGGGGAAUUUUCCGCAAUGGGCGAAAGCCUGACGGAGCAACGCCGCGUGAGGGAUGAAGGCCUCUGGGCUGUAAACCUCUUUUCUCAAGGAAGAAGACAUGACGGUACUUGAGGAAUAAGCCACGGCUAAUUCCGUGCCAGCAGCUGCGGUAAUACGGGAGUGGCAAGCGUUAUCCGGAAUUAUUGGGCGUAAAGCGUCCGCAGGCGGCCCUGUAAGUCUGUCGUUAAAGCGUGGAGCUUAACUCCAUUUAAGCGAUGGAAACUACAGGGCUUGAGUGUGGUAGGGGCAGAGGGAAUUCCCGGUGUAGCGGUGAAAUGCGUAGAUAUCGGGAAGAACACCAGUGGCGAAGGCGCUCUGCUGGGCCAUAACUGACGCUCAUGGACGAAAGCCAGGGGAGCGAAAGGGAUUAGAUACCCCUGUAGUCCUGGCCGUAAACGAUGAACACUAGGUGUCGGGGGAAUCGACCCCCUCGGUGUCGUAGCCAACGCGUUAAGUGUUCCGCCUGGGGAGUACGCACGCAAGUGUGAAACUCAAAGGAAUUGACGGGGGCCCGCACAAGCGGUGGAGUAUGUGGUUUAAUUCGAUGCAACGCGAAGAACCUUACCAGGGUUUGACAUCCUAAUCCCUUGGAAACGAGGGAGUGCCUUCGGGAGCGCAGAGACAGGUGGUGCAUGGCUGUCGUCAGCUCGUGUCGUGAGAUGUUGGGUUAAGUCCCGCAACGAGCGCAACCCACGUCUUUAGUUGCCAGCAUUCAGUUGGGCACUCUAGAGAGACCGCCGGUGAUAAACCGGAGGAAGGUGUGGAUGACGUCAAGUCAUCAUGCCCCUUACAUCCUGGGCUACACACGUACUACAAUGCUACGGACAAAGGGCAGCAAGCUCGCGAGAGUUAGCAAAUCCCAUAAACCGUGGCUCAGUUCAGAUCGUAGGCUGCAACUCGCCUACGUGAAGGAGGAAUCGCUAGUAAUCGCAGGUCAGCACACUGCGGUGAAUACGUUCCCGGGCCACGUACACACCGCCCGUCACACCAUGGAAGUUGGCCAUGCCCGAAGUCGUUACUCCAACCC
rnacentral:rRNA from 1 species